rnacentral:lncRNA from 1 species
AUGGGAACGCUGCCAAGGUGGCUCUUGGGCUGGUGGUGCUUUGAGCACGGAGAGCUUCUCCCAGCAAAAGUUUGUGGCUGUCCCAGGACGUGGAUGGCUCAGCUGGACCCGCUCACCCUUGGCCUGGAUGGAGCAAGCCCUGGCCGCCUGGCCGAGCGCAUCAGUGGCUCGAGUGCCGCGCGGCUUCCGCCGUCAGGAAGCAGCGAGGGGGUCGCAGUCCCUGCCCACGCAGUUGCACAAUGCCCGGUGCCUCCAGUGCCUGCACCAGCCCAGCUCAUGGCUCAUCGCCCGUUGCUUUCCAGCUCCUCACACUGGUCAUCACCUGCCCCCAGACGGCUGGCCAGACCGCUCAGCUUCUUCCUCAAAUCCUCCUCUCCCCCCACAUGGGCACAGCCCCCUCUCCGGCCGCUUUGUCCUCUCCCAAGGACACGGCUUGGAGAGCAGGAGAGCAGCCAGGACUUGCAGCUUGGCACUGCACCAAGCUGCUCACCCACCCACGCAGGACCGGCCUCUCCCCUGCCACCUUUUCCUCCAGCCCUCCCCACUGAGCUGGUAGCACCCAGCCACCCCUCGCCCUCCGCCGGGCGCUCCUGGGCGCACACACCAAAAAGCUGGCUCAAAAAUUCAGCGCUGCUGUCAGCACUGAGCUGCUGGUUUUCCACCUGGGCACCCUGCAUCCAUCCACCCACACAUCCAGGCACACAUCCGUGCACACACACAUCCAUCCAUCCAUCCAUCCAUCCAUCCAUCCAUCCAUCCAUCCAUCCAUCCAUCCAUCCAUCCAUCCAUCCAUCCAUCCAUCCACCCCUGCGUGUGCGCCUCCCAGGUCUGCAUUUGCGCCCCUCGCCGCGACCCCCCGAGGGCUGGGGCCACCCCGGGUCCCCAGCCAAGGCCGUGGCGAGGGGCGGUGGAGGAGGAGGAGGAGGAGAAAGAGGAGAAGAAGAAGGAGGAGGAGGAGGAGGAGCCGGGAGGCAGCGCUCCGCCUGUGGGGCCGGCCCGAGCAGCGCCGGAGCCCGGGGAGCCGAGGACAAAAGGUGGCCGGGGGGGGACCGGAGCGGGAGGAGCCGGGACGGGGCUGGAGGCGGGGGCGGCGCCGAACCGAACCGGAGCGGGAACCGGAGCGGGAACCGGAGCGGGAACCGGAGCGGGAACCGGAGCGGGAACCGGAGCGGGAACCGGAGCGGGAACCGGAGCGCCCGGGGCUGGGGAAGCCGUGGUGGGGCUCGGCCGGGGCCGUCCCGGUGCCGGUGCCGCCCAGGAGGGGAGCGCCCCCGCCGUCUCCAAAGGUGCCCGGGAUUUUUGGGGUCCCCAGGGGUGCCCCCAGCAGCCGGGGAAGGGGCACCCGCUCGCUCCCCAAACCCCAUGGUGGGGCCGGGUGGAAACGAGCACUGA